rnacentral:rRNA from 1 species
AUUGAACGCUGGCGGCAGGCUUUACACAUGCAAGUCGAACGAGUGGCGGACGGGUGAGUAAUGUAUGGGAACCUGCCUGAUGGAGGGGGAUAACUACUCGAAACAGUAGCUAAUACCGCAUACCAUCAGAGGUGCCCAGAUGGGAUUAGCUUGUUGGUGGGGUAACGGCUCACCAAGGCAACGAUCCCUAGCUGGUUUGAGAGGAUGACCAGCCACACGGGAACGGAGACACGGUCCAGACUCCUACGGGAGGCAGCAGUGGGGAAUAUUGCACAAUGGGCGCAAGCCUGAUGCAGCCAUGCCGCGUGUAUGAAGAAGGCCUUCGGGUUGUAAAGUACUUUCAGCGGGGAAGCGUUACCCGCAGAAGAAGCACCGGCUAACUACGUGCCAGCAGCCGCGGUAAUUC